AGCAGCCGCGGUAAUUCCAGCUCCAAUAGCGUAUAUUAAAGUUGUUGCAGUUAAAAAGCUCGUAGUUGAAUUUCGGGGUUAGCAGGUCGGUCGUGCCAUCGGUAUGAACUGGUCUCGCUGAUCCCUCCCUCUUGACGAACUGUGAUGCCAUUAAUUUGGUGUCGCAGGGAAUCAGGACUGUUACUUUGAAAAAAUUAGAGUGUUUAAAGCAGGCUCACGCUUGAAUACAUUAGCAUGGAAUAAUGAAAUAGGACGUUUGAUCCUAUUUUGUUGGCUUCUAGGAUUGACGUAAUGAUUAAUAGGGAUAGUUGGGGGCAUUAGUAUUCAAUUGUCAGAGGUGAAAUUCUCGGAUUUAUUGAAGACUAACUACUGCGAAAGCAUUUGCCAAGGAUGUUUUCAUUAAUCAAGAACGAAAGUUAGGGGAUCGAAGACGAUCAGAUACCGUCGUAGUCUUAACCAUAAACUAUGCCGACUAGGGAUCGGAUGAUGUUAAUUUUUUAAUGACUCAUUCGGCGCCUUACG
rnacentral:rRNA from 1 species